CGGGGAAUAUUGCACAAUGGGCGAAAGCCUGAUGCAGCAACGCCGCGUGAGUGAUGAAGGCCUUCGGGUUGUAAAGCUCUGUCUUUUGGGACGAUAAUGACGGUACCAAAGGAGGAAGCCACGGCUAACUACGUGCCAGCAGCCGCGGUAAUACGUAGGUGGCAAGCGUUGUCCGGAUUUACUGGGCGUAAAGGAUGCGUAGGCGGAUUUUUAAGUGAGAUGUGAAAUACCCGGGCUUAACUUGGGUGCUGCAUUUCAAACUGGGAAUCUAGAGUGCGGGAGAGGAGAAUGGAAUUCCUAGUGUAGCGGUGAAAUGCGUAGAGAUUAGGAAGAACACCAGUGGCGAAGGCGAUUCUCUGGACCGUAACUGACGCUGAGGCAUGAAAGCGUGGGUAGCAAACAGGAUUAGAUACCCUGGUAGUCCACGCCGUAAACGAUGAGUACUAGGUGUAGGAGGUAUCGACCCCUUCUGUGCCGCAGUUAACACAAUCAAGUACUCCGCCUGGGAAGUACGAUCGCAAGAUUAAAACUCAAAGGAA
rnacentral:rRNA from 1 species